rnacentral:tRNA from 1 species
GCCUCUAUAGCUCAGUGGCAAAGCACUAGUCUCGUAAGCUAGGGGCCGUGGGUUCAAAUCUCACUGGAGGCG